GACGAACGCUGGCGGCGUGCCUAAUACAUGCAAGUAGAACGCACAGUUUAUACCGUAGCUUGCUACACCAUAGACUGUGAGUUGCGAACGGGUGAGUAACGCGUAGGUAACCUGCCUGGUAGCGGGGGAUAACUAUUGGAAACGAUAGCUAAUACCGCAUAAUAUUAAUUAUUGCAUGAUAAUUAAUUGAAAGGUGCAAUUGCACCACUACCAGAUGGACCUGCGUUGUAUUAGCUAGUAGGUGAGGUAACGGCUCACCUAGGCGACGAUACAUAGCCGACCUGAGAGGGUGAUCGGCCACACUGGGACUGAGACACGGCCCAGACUCCUACGGGAGGCAGCAGUAGGGAAUCUUCGGCAAGGGACGAAAGUCUGACCGAGCAACGCCGCGUGAGUGAAGAAGGUUUUCGGAUCGUAAAGCUCUGUUGUAAGAGAAGAACGGGUGUGAGAGUGGAAAGUUCACACUGUGACGGUAUCUUACCAGAAAGGGACGGCUAACUACGUG
rnacentral:rRNA from 1 species